CCUACGGGAGGCAGCAGUGAGGAAUAUUGGUCAAUGGACGGAAGUCUGAACCAGCCAUGCCGCGUGCAGGAAGACGGCUCUAUGAGUUGUAAACUGCUUUUGUACAAGGGUAAACCUGAAUACGUGUAUUCAGCUGAAAGUACUGUACGAUUACGGAUCGCUAAACUCUGGGUCAUCACCCGCGGUAAUACGGAGGAUCAAACGGUUUUCCGGAUUUAUUGGGUUUAAAGGGUGCGUAGGCGGAUUGAUAAGUUAGAGGUGAAAUGUCCGAGCUUAACUCGGGAACUGCCUCUAAUACUGUUGAUCUAGAGAGUAGAUGCGGUAGGCGGAAUGUAUGGUGUAGCGGUGAAAUGCGUAGAGAUCAUACAGAACACCGAUUGCGAAGGCAGCUUACCAAUCUAUAUCUGACGUUGAGGCACGAAAGCGUGGGGAGCAAACAGGAUUAGAUACCCGUGUAGUC
rnacentral:rRNA from 1 species